rnacentral:lncRNA from 1 species
CAUGCGGAGGUUGGGUGGUGGUGAUAUGAACAUGCGGGAGGGUUGGGUAGGUGGGGGAUAUAACAGGCCUGGAGGUUGGGUAGGUGGUGAUAUGAACAGGCCUGGAGGUUGGGUAGGUGGUGUUGAUAUGAACAUGCCUGGAGGUUGGGUAGGUGGUGAUAUGAACAGGCCUGGAGGUUGGGUAGGAGGUGAUAUGACAUGCCUGGAGGUUGGGUAGAGGUGAUAUGAACAUGUCCUGGAGGUUGGG